AUGAUGGCACCAUUCCUGGAGUUAGGCCUUCAACCAAAGAGCUGGGCCAUCCGUGGCAAUGCCUCCCAGGCUUGGGAGCUGGGAAAAGGCCCCAGGAGCUAGGGCAUUCUGAUUGUUCUUUCAAAGAAAUCCCUCUUGUUCUUAGUCAACAUGCUGGAUACCAGCUAAAAAAUGCAAAAUGAUCUUCAGGCAGGGAUGGCACAGGACCCUUGCUGAGCUGUGAAGCCUGGCUGUGAGGAUUCCUGCAUGGAAACAUCAACAUGUUGCCAGAUUGGUAUACGACUCAGCACCACACUGACAUGCUGCUCCCAAACAGUGCCUUUGAAUCAAGACCCAGUCAUCGUAUUCGAAGAAAAAAGAAAUAUCCCUGACCAUGUUGGGACUUACACUGCUUCACAGAGGGUGAGGACCACUACAGGACAAAAAAGAGCUCCUUUUUUCCAGUCUCAGCCCAGGAGGGAUCUUCACAGAGAAAGCAAGCCCAGCCCAUCCCCACAGCUGGCUCCCUGGUGCCCAUUCUGAAAGGCUGCACCCAUCCUGACCCGUCCCUACCCCAAGGACUGCCUGGUGAGGGACGGCUUACCAACACUGUGACUCAGUCCUUCCAACAUGCCCAACAGGUCAAUUCUGGGAUAUUCCUUACAGGAAUUAAUGAGAGCACAUUGCCGGUAAUGUUGGCAUUAGUAGAUUACAUUUAAAUUUAAAAAUUCCUUUUAUGGGGUUUAAGAAUAGAGACAAGACACCCAUGCAAUAAAGAAAGGAGGAGACUUUGCCUGGUCUAAUGGAGAAGCUGGAGCUGCAUUGUUGGGUACAGUGGCCAGUGGCUACACCUGGCUUUUGAGCCCUUGCACAGUGGCAAGGACACAUUGAGAUGUGCCCUAGGUGCAAGAUACACACAGGAUUUCAAAGACUGAGUAUGAAAAAAGAAGAAAAAAUGUCUCAUUAAUAUUUUUAUAUUGGUUGCAUGUGGAAGUGAUAACAUUUUGGAUAUACAGUUGACCUUUGAACAGCAUGGGUUUGAACUGCACAGGUCUGCUUAUAAGUGAAAUUUCUUCUGCCUCUGCCACCCCUGAGACAGCAAGACCAACCCUCCACUUCCUCCUCCUCCUCCUCAACCUGCUCAACAUGAAGAUGAUGAAGAUCAAGACCUUCAUGAUGAUCUACUUCCACUUAAUGAAUAGUAAAUAUAUUUUCUCUUCCUUGUGAUUUUCUUAAUAACAUUUUCUUUCCUCUAGCUUAUUUUGUUGUAAGGAUACAGUGCUAUAUAAUAUUUAUAACAUACAAAAUAUGUGUUAACCAACUCUGCUAUCAGUAAGGCUUCUGAUCAACAGUAUGCUAACAUUUUUGGACAGUAGUUAAGUUUGGGCAGAGUCAAAAGUUAUAGGCAGAUUCUUGAUUGUGUGGGGUAUUGGCAUCCCUAAUCUCUGCACUGUUCAAGGGUAAACUGCA